CGUGCAGGCGGCUCUGUAAGUCGUGCGUGAAAGCUCCCUGGCUCAACCGGGAGAGGUCGUGCGAAACUGCGGAGCUUGAGACAGGUAGAGGCAAGCGGAAUUCCGGGUGUAGUGGUGAAAUGCGUAGAUAUCCGGAGGAACACCAGUGGCGAAGGCGGCUUGCUGGGCCUGAUCUGACGCUCAGACGCGAAAGCAUGGGGAGCGGAACG
rnacentral:rRNA from 1 species